ensembl:misc_RNA 7SK 7SK RNA
GGAUGUGAGGGCACUCUGCCUGCAACAUCUGUCACCCCAUUGGUUGACAGCAUUGAUUCAGCUGAUCUGACAGGUGUCCCUUCCUUCCUCACCGCUCCACCUGCAUCCCUCCUAAAGCUGCCGGCUGGGUUAAAGAGGACGACCUUCUUGAUAAAGAAGGACCAUUCUUUGGUCAGUUGUAUACGAGUAGCUGCCUUCCCCUGCCAGGACCUCCAAACAAACUCUCAAGAUGGCACCUGUGAGAGAAGUCAACACAGUACGGGGUCUUUCUGUGCCUG